UGUUGACCUCGGAUCAGGUAGGAAUACCCGCUGAACUUAAGCAUAUCAAUAAGCGGAGGAAAAGAAACCAACC
rnacentral:rRNA from 1 species